CGCGCCCGGACGCUACUGGUUCGCCUUUGCGCAUGUGCAAUUGCCCUCGUACCGAACUCCGCAGGACGAAGCGUGUAUUUUUUUCCCAUCCAGACAACCUAGAGAAACCCAAAAAAGAGGGAAGCCAAGCGCCUUUCCAUGCGUAGAUUGCCCGCCACUUCCGUUAAGGCAUCUAUUUUACUGAUGAAAAGAGGCCUUCUGAGCGUUACCACAGCUCAAGCUUGGCGUCCCAGCCGGAUCUAGGUUUGAUUUGCAAUUAGGGAAAGUUGUUCAAGGGAACAAGUCUUAGGAGAAUUCUAAGGACAUGAGAUUGGAGUACCAGAAAUGGGGAAUUUUUCUUUUGCCAGUCCCUCUGUUCGGGGUCCCUGACUUCCCGCAACAUUGGAGCAUAUUUGUCUCUCUGCCUGGCUUCUCCAGAAUUUGGAAACUAUCUGUGAGUAUUCUUAACUUAUGGCAAUAUAGUUGUUUGCAUCAGCGCAGUAAGAAUCCAUUUUUCUUUUGCAACAGGACACAGUUGGAGAAACUGGUUAUUCUACCAAGGCUUUGACUGAAGGGUAUGCUUCUCUUUCAGGAGUCAGUCUCAACUUGCAG
rnacentral:lncRNA from 10 species